rnacentral:rRNA from 1 species
UACGGAGGGGGCUAGCGUUGUUCGGAAUUACUGGGCGUAAAGCGCACGUAGGCGGCUUUGUAAGUUAGAGGUGAAGCCCAGGGCUUAACUCUGGAAUUGCCUUUAAGACUGCAUCGCUGAAGUACGUCGGUGAGAGGUGAGUGGAAUUCCGAGUGUAGAGGUGAAAUUCGUAGAUAUUCGGAAGAACACCAGUGGCGAAGGCGACUUACUGGACACGGUAGUUGACGCUGAGGUGGCGAAAGCG